rnacentral:rRNA from 1 species
UACGUAGGGGGCGAGCGUUGUCCGGAAUCAUUGGGCGUAAAGCGCGUGUAGGCGGCCCGGUAAGUCCGCUGUGAAAGUCCAGGGCUCAACCCUGGGAUGCCGGUGGAUACUGUCGGGCUCGAGUCCGGAAGAGGCGAGUGGAAUUCCUGGUGUAGCGGUGAAAUGCGCAGAUAUCGGGAGGAGCACCAAUGGCGAAGGCAGCUCGCUGGGACGUGACUGACGCUGAGACGCGAAAGCGUGGGGAGCAAACAGG